UUUUGAUGACUUGGACAGUUUUGAGAAGUUAGGUAUUUUGUGGAAUGUCCCUCAACGGGGAUAUAUGCUUUUCUCAUGAUUAGGCUGGGGUUAUGGAUUUGGAAGAAGAAGACUAAAGAGGGUCUGGAGCUGAAGCAGCUAUUUUGCAACUACAAAGGAAAAGCCAAGGAAAUUGCUGAGAUGCCUGCACUGAGAUGGUUGAACU
rnacentral:lncRNA from 1 species